GGCUUUGGCUCAUUAUCGGCCGCAGCUGGUUUCUGGAGACAUGAGAUUAUAGUCAAAGACAUUCAUCUCUCACGGUGGGUUGUCAACAAAAGACCCAGCGCUGGUCGGUACAACAACAAGCAGUGUCAGCGAUUGCUCACCUUUGCACCAUCCUGUGUGUGUGUGUGUGUCUGUGUGUGUACCUGUUAAUUGAUUUCAUCCCUCAGGAAACUCAUUUCAUCAUACUGUGUGUUUUUAACCCUUGUCUUGCAGCAGUCUUUCACCGCUGGUUCUGCAUGGAGACUCGGAGCCUCCUGGGAAAUUAAAUCCUCCUGAGUGAGCGUGUGCAAGGUGAGGAGGAGGGAUUAGGAAGAGGGAGCCUUAAAAUUACAGGGGACUUCUUGUAGUCAGAUUAGUGUCUUUUUUGGUAUUUAACACAGAUUUUUAGCUGUGGUAACAGGUCAAUACUGACCUGCUGAGUUAUUUUCAACCUGUUCACCCUUUACUAAACCAGCCAGGUCUGUCUGAGCAGAAACCUCACCCAGAGCGUCACUGGGUGUGUCCAAAUUAGGUGACAUGUGAAACUGAUUUUGUAGUUUGAAUUUUUUCCAGCAACUAGUGUGUCAUGGAGUUUUAGCAGGAGUUUAACAGUUGAGAUGGGUUUUAUUUAAACACUGAUCAGAAAAAGACCAUUGUAGUAAAUUGAUCAUUUAAAACAUUUAUUGUUUGACAAAACCUACUGAUUUUUUUUCUUUGCUACAAAAUGUUUGACAUAUUUCCAGCUGCAUGAAGUGAAUUACACCAGACAGUGUUUGAAUCUUUGCAGUGAAUAUAAUAAUAAAAACAUGUUUCCAUCUCAGUGCUAAAAAGGCCACCUAUUAACUGCCUGUAUAUGCAAAUUCAAAUA